ACUCCAACCCUUAUGUGAACCGUACCUAUCGUUGCUUCGGCGGGAACGCCCCGGCGCCCUGCGCCCGGAUCCAGGCGCCCGCCGGAGACCCCAAACUCUUGUGUUUUUUUCAGUAUUCUCUGAGUGGCAAACGCAAAAAUAAAUCAAAACUUUUAACAACGGAUCUCUUGGCUCUGGCAUCGAUGAAGAACGCAGCGAAAUGCGAUAAGUAAUGUGAAUUGCAGAAUUCAGUGAAUCAUCGAAUCUUUGAACGCACAUUGCGCCCGUUAGCAUUCUAGCGGGCAUGCCUGUCCGAGCGUCAUUUCAACCCUCAGGGUCCCCGUUCCGGCGGGGAACCUGGUGUUGGGGAUCGGCCCGCCCCGUGCGGCGCCGUCCCCCAAAUUCAGUGGCGGUCUCGCUGCAGCCUCCCCUGCGUAGUAGUUACAACCUCGCAUCGGAGCUCAGCGCGGCCACGCCGUAAAACCCCCGACUUUCUGAACGUUGACCUCGGAUCAGGUAGGAAUACCCGCUGAACUUAAGCAUAUCAAAAGCGGAGGAA
rnacentral:rRNA from 1 species